rnacentral:rRNA from 1 species
CCCUUAGAUGUCCGGGGCCGCACGCGCGCUACACUGAAGGAAUCAGCGUGGCUUUCUCCCUGACCCGAAAGGGUUGGGAAACCCGUUGAAUCUCCUUCGUGAUAGGGAUUGGGGCUUGAAAUUGUUCCCCAUGAACGAGGAAUUCCCAGUAAGCGCGAGUCAUAAGCUCGCGUUGAUUACGUCCCUGCCCUUUGUACACACCGCCCGUCGCUACUACCGAUUGAACGGUUUAGUGAGGGCCUCGGAUUGGUCUCGGCCCGCUCUUUACCGGGCGGCGCCGUUGGUCGAGAAGACGCUCUAACUUGAUCGUUUAGAGGAAGUAAAAGUCGUAACA